GCCGGUCAGCGGCCCAGCCGUUCGGUCGCUCUGUUGUGGUACCACGAUCUGGUGAAUGAAUGAACGGCGCAGCGAUCAGCCGUUGCUUGUUCAAUUCGAGCAGAACUCAGGAGAAAGAACAGAGCACCAUGUAACAGAGCAGUGAAGAAUAGCAGACGACGUGCACAAUCACGCAGAGACAUGGAACGAUUUCGACCACUGGGUAUUGUGUUGAUUUUGGUGUUGUGAUGAUGCGCGAGUCCGAAAUAGCUGCAGCCGGUGGGGGCUUAUGUGGUGUUUCGAAUUACCGUCAAUGACUGGAGCUUACCGCAGGAAAGGACAAUAAUAUUCGACAGUAGUACCAAUGCUGUGGAACACAUAUGGCAGUUGAGGUCGCAACGGCCAGAAAAGUGUUGGAGAAGAGGAGGCGACUCGGUUGUAUCAGGCUACAGAGGUUGGUAGCGAUUGAACAGCUGCGUAAGCAAGGCGCUGCUAUAGAGUCGGGUUCAGUAAAAGAGCAAGGAAUAAGACCUUGCGUGGGACUCAGCGCGUUGAGCUAGGAGGAGAACCUGACAAACAAAUGAAUUUUUUUGGAAGCAGCUAAGGGCGGAAACGCUUUAUGCACAGCUCGCAUAAUCGACCUAGGUAGUGAAGGACUCAUCGUCAGUCAUUUGAAGCCACGGCCUCUUAAGUGAUCUGAUUUGUUUGUUAUCCACUGAAACCGCUCCUUUCAGACUAAUCGAAGCUUAACGAGAAAGAUGCAUCUACCGCGUGGUAAACUUUGAUAGGGGAGACAACCGAAGCAGAGAAGAAGAAAGGAAUCAGAAAAAAAGCCAAAAGCUUACCCCUCCAUCGUAUCAGUGCACCAUAAAACUUCUGGAUUCCUUUUUCUUAAGUACUAUAUAAAUAAAUUUACACACCCCAUACUAUUGGAAUCUGAGUAUCUGAGUCAGACUGAAUGCCAGUUGCCCAUGUCUUCUUGUAUACCACUUAGCUGUGCCUUCAGUAAAUCUUCUUGUUAUGCAUGCCGUAUUCGUAUAUUCUGGCUGCCAUCUUGCCUAUCCAGCGGGAAGAUGGACUGGUGAAGUAACAUGAUACUACUAGCGUUCCAUGUAAGCUCUGGUUCGAAGUAAUAUUAAGCUAACUUCUGAAUCAAAGCCUAAGGACACAAGCUGCAGGGUACAGUGAGUAAAGGUUCAAUAGCACCGAAUAACGCAACUGUGUGUUCUGGUCUACCCAAUGCAUUUGCCCUGAACUUGCUAAAAGAAAAUAUAUGAUCAUGUCUGCGAAGUUAAUAGCCUGCUCAGUUGUUUUUGAACUAGGAUGUGUUUACUAUCGAUGGUACGAUGCGGAGAUGGCACAUGAUGGUGCACUCAUGUUGUACCGCAUCACCAACAAAGCUCUCAGGAAACACCUCGUAUCAAAAUCGUUAGGCCAGCUGCCUCUUCCCCGGCCUGCCUCUAUAGUCUCUCUUCGGUAGGCGCAGUUGGCCGGUAAAGUCUAUGCGAUACUUACAUGGGCAGCCUAUAGCCAAGCGUUAAAAAUCUUAGCGGUUCGUUUAUUGUCUUCUUUACCUUUGGCCUAUUCUUCAUCACCAGCCCAUUUCCACAGCAUACCUACUGCCUAUGGGGAGUACUACCUAGUUCCUACCUAGCUAGUUGAUAGCUUUUGUGCUCACUCUUCCUUCGUCUUGAUUCACACUGUUUCUAGCUUUUCGUUCGUUGUUUGUCCGCGUGUUAGUCUGAGCAAGCAACUCGGUGUUGUGCUGAAUGGGUGUUUAUUUUAAAAGGUGUAGACAGAACUAACAAGGUGUUUAUCUUUGCUGUACCAUUGUGAUGUUGGAAAAUUCUGUUGUGUCUUGUGGGUGAACUAGUGUCUUCCUGUGUGUGUCUCUAGUUUACUUUCUCUUCGCAUAAUUGCACUCCUGUAUUUUUUUUGGGCUUCUUGGUCACUGCCUAUCGACAAGGGCAACGCUGGAAAAAAAUCGCCGAAAAGAGAGCAGACUAAAAUGUAAAGAGAAAGGACCAGGCUAGAAGAAUUAAGAAUGUAACAGACAGCGGCCCUGAAUAGCCAGAGAUUAACAGCGUCUAAGAUGAGCCGCGUCUUUAAAAUUUUACCCACAGAUGAGGUUGCAAACUAGCAGCUCACCUGCUGUGUGUUCAAAGCGCAAGAAGUGCACAAAUGGACGUCUGCGAUUAGAGCAUAUAUAAAUGGCACAUGUAUUUUAAAAGAUUUCAAACUAAUUUAUUGUUUACGCCAAGUUGUUUCCUCAGUUAGAAGCUGAAAACAUAAAAUGAAAUUUUCCCAAUAGAUGUUUACUUUUGCUAAAGCAAAGGGUACAAGCGAAUCUAGGAAACCUUAAGAUUGAAUAGCUUUUGAACUAGAAUGACGAUGUUUUGAUAUGUACUAGAGGUGCUUUUUCUGCACUUGUCUUAGCGACCUGGUGGAUUCCAGAUAAAUUCCAGUAUAUGGCUCUUUACAAAAUCAAAUCGAUCAUCGGAUAUGCUUGCCGACCAAUUGCUCUUUUUAGGACAUGGAAAGUCUUGUAACCACACGGACUUGGAUCAGCAGUAUAAACUGGUUUAAGCCCAAGUUGGAUAUUCUUUUGCUUAAUCCAGAAAGAAACUGAGGCAUGGCGAUCAGCUGUGGCAUUGUCGUAACGAGACUGCAUGCUUUCGAUUGUCGUGCCCUUAUGGGUCCUCGAGUCUCUUAAAAAACUUGAAAUAACGAAAUACCUUCAUUGCUUCCUCUUAGAUGGGCAUUUCAUAGCAACAGAUGUUUUUAUUGCUCAUUGCGAACAUCAUCACCUUAUGUCUAAUUUUAGCGGAUACCGCUACCAAAAUCGAGUGCUUUCUAGGGCGGUACCUGGUCCCUUAUUAUGCUUCGUUUAUAGACCGUUUACUCCACGCGAUUUUUGUUAAUUAAAGAUCUGCAAAUUGCACGUGGGCUUUAAAGAACAAACAUUUGACCAGUUGAUUGUCAAGGCUUAGAUGUUUUUCGUUCUGAACUCGUUUCUUCCUCUUUUCAUUCUCAAAUCCAUUCUCAUUCUCCGUUCACAAGUUUCUAGGAGAUUGAAGUAUAAGCCAAAUUCCGUUAGCUGCCAGCGGCGCGCAAUUCAGAAGCUAUAACGUUACAAAAUCUCCCAAAUUUGCUUCUGUCAACCUAAUAUACUUUUAUAGGAUUGCUUCCUGCAAGAUGAAAAAUAUUGUUAUUAUUUUGAGUACCGAUUAAUUAAUUGCAUUUAUUGAAAGCGAUAGUUAAAAUUAUUGAACACGCGAACGACGCCAAUUUAACACAAUUCUGGUGAGAAGAAAAAUAUAACACUCAUCUUCAAAGGUAGCAUUCCAUUAGCUUUAGUUAAAUAGUAAUAAAAAAAGUGUGUACUUAUUUACCAUUUAUUAUUUUAUUUAUUUUUACCAUUUGUCAUAAAAUCGUUUUAAUCUUAGAACGAUAACGAUGCACUUUGAAACAGGUUUUUUUUAACAGAAAUAAAGGAUAUCGUUGAGACCUUUUAUUAAGAUAAUACUUGUACAUUCAACUACAGAUGAGGAAAGCAUAUUCUAGUAGGAUAUUCAUUGUUUUUUUUGCUAGAAACUCUAAUGGCGAGAUUAUUAUAAAAUGUAAAUAAUUCGAAGAUUAAAGCUAACUGUAAAGUGUGCAAUAUGUGUUAUUUGUGGCACCUGAAGCAGCGACCCGAGAUAUGUAUAUAUAUACAUGUAUGUAUGUGAACGUUCAUUGAAACGAACUAUUAAAAAUACCGAAUUCACAUUUUAAGUGUUUCCACGAUAUAAACAUGUGAAACGACUCGAAAUGAACGAAAUUACAAGACCGGUCCAUGAACGAACUUAUAGGUACCGACAAGUGACUCAGAGCUAAGUAAUGAGGGUAACUUUAAACAUUAAUUUGUUGCCCAGCUUUUAUAUUUCAACCGCUAAAAUUGUGUGACCACAAACUAUUAUGACUCCUUGAGACUUUCGUGUAUAAUUUUUGAGUCGUUGAGCAAUAGAGUUUUCCUAAUAAUAGGUUGCAUAGUUAGUUGCAUAGUGAUAAUAGUUAAUAAUAAAUGGCAAAUAAACUCCAUAUCGUUUGUAUUGAUAUGACCCGUUUCUAA